rnacentral:lncRNA from 1 species
GUCACCAUUCACUUAUUCUAUAUUGACUGCAGGAAACCACCAUACAAUACAAGUUAACUGUUUUUAGGCAUGCAGAUCAUGCUUUUGUCUGGGGAAGGAUGCUGGUUCAGCCUCUCCUGCACUUUUAAAAUUAAGAAACAAACUGCAGCUGUAUGAAUACGUCAUGAAGAGGUUGCCCAAACAACUCCUUUCACAGAAGCACAUCCAGCACAAAGCAAAAUAAC